GGGCCGGUAGAUCAGACCGGAAGAUCGCCACCUUGGCAUGGUGGAGGCCGCGGGUUCAAAUCCCGCCCGGUCCA
rnacentral:tRNA from 1 species